rnacentral:sRNA from 1 species
GUUAAAAUGGGAUGAAUUUCAAUAUACAAACUAUUAACAUCUUUACUCAUGUUAAUGUGGCAAUCUGAAGCUAGUAAAGAGUUCAACACCAAAUCGAUCAAACAUUUGGGAUAAAACCAUGAAUAUACCUAGCAACAAUGCCAGCAAUCAAUAUUUCCUUCUCUAUGAAGGUUUCAGUGAAUACAAGGUUAUGCCAUCAAUAAUUUACAUCGUGUCUGUUGCUAAUGUAUUUAGCAAUGUUUGAACACGCCAAAUUAGUGCUAUAAAACUGAUUUCCUUUUUUGUCUUUCUUUAUGUUAUGAUUUAGUGUGUGUUUUUUACUGAGUGAAUUUUGAAGUUGGAAUUAUAGAGGGUGGUUUUUUUCUUUCUUGCUGCCAAUACAGGUUCCACCUUAUUUAACUGUCCGUUCCCUUUGAUGGGUGUGUUGCUUGUUCUAGCUGUUAGAGGCUUUAAAUUCAAGAUGUGAUUCGUAUUGUUCACAUAUGUUGAGUGUUUAUUUCUCCCACAAUAGAUAGGUUAUAUAAAAUUAGUUUAAGCGUAGAGAGGCAUUGUCUUGGAAGAUGCUGUGAUAAUAUAGGAUAUGACAGUAUAAGGCUUGCAGUAAUAAUAGGAGUAAACUUGGAAGAAUUGACGGUGAAAGCUUACGUUGUAAUUUGUAAAUCUUCAGGAAGCCUAGGCUAUUAAUUUAUUCAUAACAAUUACUGUAGUUUGUAAUCCAAGAAUUAUAUAAGGCUCAAUAUUUGAGCACUGGGGAUGCAAAUUGGGCAAUUUGCCCUGCAUGUAAACUCAUCUAUACUACUUUUUGUUUAAUAACAUGUUUGAUUUUCCUUCAUAUCAUAUACUUUUUGUUUAGCAUUAUGGCGUCUACUUAAAAUGGGAUAAAAAAACAAAGAAGACAGCAGUUACGUUUAUAAUGCAUUUAUGGGAGAAAAUAGAAGCUGGGAGAAUCCUGCGGAAGAAACAAUGAUGCUCUUGAGAGAGCACAUUUCAACUAUUACGUGCCUUGGAAGGAAACAGAAUUACACACAACUUGGGGCAGAGGUAAGCCACCUUAUUGUAGCAUGUAGUAUGUACAAACUCGAGUAUUCAAACGGGCAAAUUAAUAUAAGAAUGAAAGAAUUGUAGAACAUUUAAUAUUGAAGGCAAAAAAUAUCACUGCAAAAUUUGUCCUAUAUUAUAGAAUCAUCCCCAGGACUGGCUGUGACUGAUCUCUCUGGUCUAAUCUCUUCCAGCUGCUGUAGCACUUGAUGAACUUCUGGUCGUGCUGAUGGAGAAGGAUCAACACAGUGCAAAGCGAGCUUCAAUGUGUUUAGCAACUCAUCGCCAACUGUUGAAGAGUCUCUCAUUAAGUCCGCAUCAAAAACCUCAUUUGUCCACUCCUCUUUGACAAUGGAGGCAACCCACUGAGGUAAAUCUAAUCCAUUCAUAGACACCCCAGGUGACUUCCUCGUUAGGAGUUCUAACAAGAUAACACCAAGGCUAUAGAUAUCAGUUUUGGAGUUGGCUUUCUUGAGCUUGGAGAGCUCGGGCGCGCGGUAUCCCAAUGCUCCAGCAGUAGCUAUCACGUUGGAAUUAGCAGCAGUUGUCAUCAGCCUAGAAAGACCAAAAUCUGCAAUUUUAGCAUUUGUAUUCUCAUCAAGCAGUACAUUACUGGAUGUGAGGUUUCCGUGUAUAAUAUUCUCCUGGGAAUGGAGGUACAACAAGCCACGAGCCAUGUCCUGUGCUAUUUUCAUCCUUGUUUGCCAAUCAAUGGAUGUUUCAGUUCCACUACCUGCAUAAAGAUGAAAAAGAAAAUACUUGACUUAUAGUAGGCUAUAUUAAUAAAACAAAUGACUUAGGAGUUAUCUGUGUUAUUCUACGAUCAGAAAUAAGUUUCAUUUUAGUAAUCCGCAAUUUUGCUAAUAGAAGUUUGAAUUAAAGGAUUAUGCACAAUAGCAAGAUGAAUAGUGAAUGCUUAAAGAACUAAAUAAUUUUUCCCCUAUUUGCA